rnacentral:tRNA from 2 species
GGGGUCUUAGCUCAGCUGGGAGAGCGCCUGCUUUGCACGCAGGAGGUCAUCGGUUCGAUCCCGAUAGGCUCCACCA